UUGUUUUUGUAUUUGUAAUAAAAUAAGUUGAAGUUUAGCAUAUGAAUAGUAAGAGAAGUCAAACAUAACAUUAUAAUGUCGAUUGUCUUGCAAGAUGCUGUUGCUUGGUUUAUGCCCAUUCAUUCGGCUGAAAUGGUAUUCUUGUGUGCUAAAUUCUGACAAAUCAUUUUUAUCAUGAUUUGGAUUCAAUGAUCUGAUGGCUGUUGUUUGUUACAGUUAUAAUUUUUGUAUUCGGUUAGCAAGUAAUAGCAUCUAGGUUUAGAGAGUGCAUUUAUUUUCUUGCUUUGUCAUGGAAUAUGUUCGUCGAUGGUCUUACUUACAUUGUGGCAGAAGCUACACACUGUAAGCAGGCCGACUUGGACUUCCGAGGGCAUGAGGAGAUCUACGCUGAACCUGGCGGAGUGAUGGACUUCGAGGAAGAUAGAAUCCGACCUAAGAGGAGGCGGCAUCCACUACAUUGAACAGUGGGAGAUAGAGUGUUUAUCAGGUGACUGCUGGUUUGGACAGCGGCAAACUGCACAGAUUUCUGCUUUUGGAGAUAAUACAACUUUACUUUUGGACCAUUGUCGCUGAUCUUUGACCUUUUGCAAAGUUGGCAACUAUACAAGCCCCCUGAAUCCAUGUUAAAUUUUCAUUAGAGUAGGUGGUCUGUUUUGGUGUUGAAGGGUUGAAUUUUUCAUGGGUGGAUCUUGGGAUUGUAAUAGUUACAAUAUAUUUUCGAGGUUUAGUUAAGAUUCGUAGUUAAUAUAAUCUUCUUGAUUGAUCUAUGACUAUUGACGUGAAAAUUUUGGUGCUUUUAUAGCAAGAUGAAGUGAAUUUGGCGCAGUAUCGAUUUCAUCGUC